AGCUUAGUUCGGAUUGUAGGCUGCAACUCGCCUACAUGAAGUCGGAAUUGCUAGUAAUCGCGGAUCAGCAUGCCGCGGUGAAUACGUUCCCGGGCCUUGUACACACCGCCCGUCACACCAUGGGAGUCGGUAACACCCGUAGCCUGUAGUCUAACCGCAAGGGGGACGCAGUCGAAGGUGGGAUUGAUGACUGGGGUGAAGUCGUAACAAGGUAGC
rnacentral:rRNA from 1 species